AAUAUUGUGCCAUAUUGGAAAACACUUUGCUAAUUUCUGCGGUUAGCUUGCUAGCAAACAGCUCGGCGACAACUGUGGUUUAUUAGGAGCGAUGAAGCUGAAGACAUAUCAAAGAAACCUACUCGUAUAACUUUACACGUUUUGUCUUUAAAACAAAUACAUAGAACCGUUAGCUGAUAAGCGUAGCCAAUAGUUCACGCAGAUAUCGCUAACGUUAACGUUAUCACAGGAAAUGGUGCAUGGAAAUACUCGCAUCUUUAUCACAAAAUUCAUUUAUAACGUACCGGCAUAUUCGUUAUUUUUUCUUCGGGCGUUCCCGUUCCUGACAGAUAUCUGAAAGAAUACUUCCCCAACCUUCCUUGAAUAUAACUUUCGUGGUUUAACCACCAGUUUCAAAGUUCAUGCAUGUGACAUAUUUAGGCUACCGAGGAAAGAGAAAGAGCGCCGCUCUGUGGCUAUAUUAUGAAAUACAAGACAGUUGAAAAGGUGUUCCAACCCGGAAGAUGGCACAGUGAAGGUGCUGAGAAAUGGGGUGUCCACAAGCAGCCAUUUCUCCUUCAGGAUGUUCACCUUCGGUGAGACCCCAUCUCUGGUGUACCUCCACUGUAGCCUUCACCUCUGCCCUCUGGAGAGCAACAGCUGCAUCCCGAUGUGCUGGACGUCCUGGCUCCACUGCCAAAGAGACACUCUCCUAGCUGUAAACAUCUGUCAUUUCCAUACCCCUUCAUUAACUAUGAUCUGAAAUCAUACCUUUUUACCUACAGGGGGAAUUAAUUGAUUGUUGACCCAAUGAGUAUUAUGACUGAUUCAUUUAAUUCAUUUGAAUUCAACUGAUUCAUUUAAUAGUUCAUUCUCAUUUGUGUGCUCACAAGUGU